AACGAACGCUGGCGGCAUGCCUAACACAUGCAAGUCGAACGAGACCUUCGGGUCUAGUGGCGCACGGGUGCGUACCGAGUGGGAACCUGCACUUAGGUUCGGAAUAACUCCCCGAAAGGGGUGCUAAUGCAGGAUAAUGUCUUAGGACAAAAGAUUUAUCGCUUUUGGAUGGGCGCGAGUUGGAUUAGCUAGUUGGUAGGGUAAAAGCAGGCCAAGGUGAUGAUCCAUAGCUGGUCUGAGAGGAUGAUCAGCAACGCUGGGACUAAGACACGGCCCAGACUCCUACGGGAGGGAGCAGAGGGUAAUAGAGGACACGGGGCGAAAGUCUGAUCCAGCAGUGCCGGGUAAGUGAUGAAGGGCGUAGGGUUGUAAAGCUCUUUUACCCGGGAUGAUAAUGACGGUACCGGGUCAAUAAGCUCCGGCUAACUCCGUG
rnacentral:rRNA from 1 species